AUUGGUUCACUCAAGUCAUUGUCUUGUCCAUCAUUCAAGUCAUGGUCUUAUUCAUCAUUCAUGUUAAUCCUAGACAUGUGUUAAGUUCAUCAUUUAGUUCACCAAUCCAUCCAUUUCAAUCUCUUUCAAACAUGUUCAUACAAUGAUUCAUGAUAUGGUAAAGUCAUUCAUUUCAUAUACAAGAUUCAAUUCAAGACCAAUUCAAUUUCAUUCAAAUAUAAGAA
rnacentral:lncRNA from 1 species